rnacentral:lncRNA from 1 species
UUCCUUUUUGCUUUCCCCAACUCUUUGAUUUCAUCUCCAACAGGGGCUGGUACCUUAUCACAAGGUAUUUCUUCUCGACUAUAUCCGCAAGGUGCUUCUUGAAUCGACAAAUUCCGCAUUUAUAAAUAUUCUUGCAGAAUCCAGAAUGAACAUAGUACUUUGGUUUUAUCAUUAUCUAGUGGAGUUCCAUACUUCCAUCCGAUAUGGGGAGUGCGAGUCAUUAUCGAGUGAACUAGAAAAGUUAAGAAUCAAAAACCAAAGACAGAGAAAAAGAGAGAUUAAGAGCCAGAGAAGAAAAUUGAGAAGAGAAAUUUGCACAUGUACGUAUAUAUCUGUAUGUAUAUACUGAGGAAAAAGACUUACGUUUAAAUGGGAGUUGUGAUGUUACUGGGUCUUAAAUGAAACACUUAUUAUCGUCUUUUUUGUUAUCAACGCCUUUUUCACUUUAGUAGCGCCUUUAAUGCCUUUUGGACGAUUUCAGAAUCGCAUUAAAUUACUUGAUUCGAAUCGCACACCUUGCGCCUAAGCGCGAAGCGCCAUUAAUCGCGCCUUUAUUAACCCUGGUUCCGCAUCUCAAAAUGAAGAAUACCCGCCUGCUGGAGGAUAUUUACAGCAGGCUAUACUAAAUAGUAUUUAACAAAUUACAUACAUUUCUGUACAUGGAUAAUCACCAAUUCCUUUUAAGUGUUUGUAAUCCACGAGCCCUGAAUUGCCCUGAAUUGGUUCAAAUUUCGAAUUAUAUGAUUUACUCACAUUCUUCAGAGUAAAUACCUGAUAUUUGACUUAUAACCUUUAAACAAAACACAAUCAAGCAUUUUCUUUUUGCUUGACC